GCUGUAGCUCAAUGGCAGAGCAUCUGCUUUGCAUUCAGAAGGUCCCAGGUUCAAUGCUUAGCAUCUCCA